UCCGGCUUAUCACCGGCAGUUCCGCCAAAGUGCCCAACUGAAUGAUGGCAACUGACGGCAAGGGUUGCGUUCGUUGCGGGACUUAACCCAACAUCUCACGACACGAACUGACGACAGCCAUGCAACACCUGUGUUUGAUCCAACUAAAUGACGUCUAGGUCUCCCUAGACUACGAUCAACAUGUCAAGAGCUGGUAAGGUUCUUCGCGUAGCUUCGAAUUAAACCACAUACUCCACCGCUUGUGCGGGUCCCCGUCAAUUCCUUUGAGUUUUAAUCUUGCGACCGUACUUCCCAGGCGGCAUACUUAACGCGUUAGCUGUAACACUGCGUAGCUGAACUACCCAACGUUUAGUAUGCAUCGUUUACGGCGUGGACUAC
rnacentral:misc_RNA from 1 species